rfam:Ciona savignyi cont_36264, whole genome shotgun sequence.
GCUGCGAUGGCCGAGUGGUUAAGGCGUUGGACUCGAAAUCCAAUGGGAUAUUCCCGCGCAGGUUCGAAUCCUGUUCGUAGCG